AUGUACAUUCCUACAACAUAUCGUUAAUGCACCAGAUCCCAUUAGAACUCCACAGUUAAGCACACUCAGGAUAGAGUAGUACUGGGAUGGGUGACCUCCUGAGAAGUCCUAGUGUUUUACAUG
rnacentral:rRNA from 1 species